rnacentral:rRNA from 1 species
UACGGAGGGGGCAAGCGUUGUUCGGAAUUACUGGGCGUAAAGGGCGUGUAGGCGGUUAGGUAAGUCAGUUGUGAAAGCCCCGAGCUUAACUUGGGAAUUGCAACUGAAACUGCCUAGCUAGAGUUUUGGAGAGGAAAGCGGAACUCCCAGUGUAGCGGUGAAAUGCGUAGAUAUUGGGAGGAACACCGGUGGCGAAGGCGGCUUUCUGGACAAAAACUGACGCUGAGGCGCGAAAGCUAGGGGAGCAAACGGG